rnacentral:rRNA from 1 species
AUACGUAGGUGGCAAGCGUUGUCCGGAAUUAUUGGGCGUAAAGCGCGCGCAGGUGGUUCCUUAAGUCUGAUGUGAAAGCCCCCGGCUCAACCGGGGAGGGUCAUUGGAAACUGGGGAACUUGAGUGCAGAAGAGGAUAGUGGAAUUCCAAGUGUAGCGGUGAAAUGCGUAGAGAUUUGGAGGAACACCAGUGGCGAAGGCGACUGUCUGGUCUGUAACUGACACUGAGGCGCGAAAGCUGGGGGAGCAAACAGGAUUAGAUACCCUGGUAGUCCACGCCGUAAACGAUGAGUGCUAAGUGUUGGGGGGUUUCCGCCCCUCAGUGCUGCAGCUAACGCAUUAAGCACUCCGCCUGGGGAGUACGGUCGCAAGACUGAAACUCAAAAGAAUUGACGGGG